rnacentral:tRNA from 1 species
GGCGGUUUGGCCGAGUGGUCUAAGGCGAUUGACUCGAAAUCAAUUCUCUUCGGAGGCGCAUGUUCGAAUCAUGCAGCCGUCG